rnacentral:rRNA from 1 species
UACAGAGGUGGCAAGCGUUGUUCGGAAUUACUGGGCGUAAAGGGCGCGUAGGUGGCCUUCUAAGUCAGACGUGAAAUCCCCAGGCUUAACUUGGGAACUGCGUCUGAUACUGGAUGGCUUGAGUUCGGGAGAGGGAUGUGGAAUUCCAGGUGUAGCGGUGAAAUGCGUAGAUAUCUGGAGGAACACCGGUGGCGAAGGCGGCAUCCUGGACCGAAACUGACACUGAGGCGCGAAAGCCAGGGGAGCAAACGGG